AAACCUGGGCAAUAAUCAACUUGCAAGCCUUCCUACAAAUGUAUUUGCCAACCUAACAGCCCUUCAAGUCAUAUUCCUGAACUUCAAUCAACUUACAAGCCUUCCUACAAAUGUAUUUGCUAACCUACCAAAGCUUGAGCAACUAGGCCUGGACAGGAAUCAACUUACAAGUCUUCCUACAAAUGUAUUU